CCCAUUUGAGCCAAGCAGCGGGUUCUCUGGCUUGAUGUCUCUGUGGAUGACUCUCUUUGAAUGGCACUAGGACAAAGCAUUCGCCAACUCCGUGAUAGGAAUCUAGAUUGGGCACCUUGUGGCACAUUGAAGGCCCCUGGGUCUCUGUCAUCUACCGCCACUGCAGGAUCUAUGUCUCGCUCCAAGGGGGCUGUCAAAGAGUCCCAACCCAGUACCAGGCCUCACCUGAAGGAUGAUGGUGAUUAAGGACCACAGUAUGGUGCAGCCCCACAUGGGUGACGGAGACCCUCUUACAGAGACCAUCCUCGGUUGCCAACUGAAGCUGCAGCAAGUUCCAGCCAAGGAGGAUUUCCUGGCCUCUGUCCUGCCCACAAUGCCCACCUGCCAGAUAAUAGGAGGGUGAAAGGCUCCUGGUUUGCUACUAGCACCUCUGUAUUGGACAUGCUCUGGAUGUGUCUCUCAGGAGAGAUCUAUAUCCAGUCCCUUUCAGCAUGCAUUUUUUAGCUUCAUCAAUCUUAUCUAGUUUUGG
ensembl:lncRNA